UGUAAAUUAUUAUUGUGAGAAAUGUGUAAGCGGUAACAACUUGUCUGGCUGAAUUUCUAGUUUACGUGUUUCAUAUAUUGUGCUGCUUCUUCUUCUUCAAGCAAUUCUUAAAAACUAUUUGUUGUUGUUGCAUGCCGUCCGUCGUGUUAUAAAGUAAAGUGAAGAAUUUAUUUUCUUUGUAGAAUUGCUUGUUGAAUUUAAAGAAAAAAAAUUUAUUUAAAAUUAUGAACAAUUUCUGUUAAAGGUGUCGCGUAUAGCUGUUAUCUUACUCACUAUUUAUGUAUGCAUGUUAAAAAAUAGAAAUAAAAUAAGGAAAUUCAAAAGUUCCAUUUCUGCAUUAUUGACUUUGUUGUGUUUUGUUUUGUUUUCUCUGUGUGCCAUCGAAACGUGAAUCAUACACAAACCACGCUUUGCCGCUUUGUUCAGCCAACUGUUGUGUUAAAAGGAAAAGGUUAUUUUUAACACAUCACCAAAUCACAUCCGAAUGUCGAACUUGCUGAGCAACGUACUGUGGAAACUGCUACACAAGACAUAAUUAUUAAAUAAUAAUAGCAAAAAAUUGCUAUAGAUAAAAAAAAUUGUAAAAAAUAUAUAUAGAAAUUGAAAUAAAAAUCGGUGCUAAUAAUUUUUAAGCCACAACAUGAGUCAUCCGCAUGACAAUAAGCGAAAGCUCUCAUUUCUUGGGUUUAAUACCCAA